rnacentral:rRNA from 1 species
CCCUUCGGGGUGUGACUGCGUACCUUUUGUAUAAUGGGUCAGCGACUUAUAUUCUGUAGCAAGGUUAACCGUAUAGGGGAGCCGGAGGGAAACCGAGUCUUAAUUGGGCGUUAAGUUGCAGGGUAUAGACCCGAAACCCGGUGAUCUAGCCAUGGGCAGGUUGAAGGUUGGGUAACACUAACUGGAGGACCGAACCGACUAAUGUUGAAAAAUUAGCGGAUGACCUGUGGCUGGGGGUGAAAGGCCAAUCAAACCGGGAGAUAGCUGGUUCUCCCCGAAAGCUAUUUAGGUAGCGCCUCGUGAAUUCAUCUCCGGGGGUAGAGCACUGUUUCGGCUAGGGGGCCAUCCCGGCUUACCAACCCGAUGCAAACUGCGAAUACCGGAGAAUGUUAUCACGGGAGACACACGGCGGGUGCUAACGUCCGUCGUGAAGAGGGAAACAACCCAGACCGCCAGCUAAGGUCCCAAAGUCAUGGUUAAGUGGGAAACGAUGUGGGAAGGCCCAGACAGCCAGGAUGUUGGCUUAGAAGCAGCCAUCAUUUAAAGAAAGCGUAAUAGCUCACUGGUCGAGUCGGCCUGCGCGGAAGAUGUAACGGGGCUAAACCAUGCACCGAAGCUGCGGCAGCGAACGUAUCACCCAAGACAACUUUACGGAGUUGACGAUUGACGGAGCGAAGCGACGUCAAAGCGUUCAUUAAAGUCGAGUUGGCUUAGGGAUACGUUCGUUGGGUAGGGGAGCGUUCUGUAAGCCUGUGAAGGUGUGUCGUGAGGCAUGCUGGAGGUAUCAGAAGUGCGAAUGCUGACAUAAGUAACGAUAAAGCGGGUGAAAAGCCCGCUCGCCGGAAGACCAAGGGUUCCUGUCCAACGUUAAUCGGGGCAGGGUGAGUCGACCCCUAAGGCGAGGCCGAAAGGCGUAGUCGAUGGGAAACGGGUUAAUAUUCCCGUACUUGGUGUUACUGCGAAGGGGGGACGGAGAAGGCUAUGUUGGCCGGGCGACGGUUGUCCCGGUUUAAGCGUGUAGGUGUGUGUUCCAGGUAAAUCCGGUUCACUUUAACACUGAGGCGUGACGACGAGGCACUACGGUGCUGAAGCAACAAAUGCCCUGCU